AUUGAACGCUGGCGGCAUGCUUUACACAUGCAAGUCGAACGGUAACAGGGUGCUUGCACCGCUGACGAGUGGCGAACGGGUGAGUAAUGCGUCGGAACGUGCCGAGUAGUGGGGGAUAACGCAGCGAAAGUUGUUCUAAUACCGCAUACGUACUGAGGUAGAAAGUGGGGGACCUUCGGGCCUCACGCUAUUCGAGCGGCCGGCGUCUGAUUGGCCAGUAGGUGAGGUAAAGGCUCACCUAGGCGACGAUCGGGAGCGGGUCUGAGAGGAUGAUCCGCCACACUGGGACUGAGGCACGGCCCAGACUCCUACGGGAGGCAGCAGUGGGGAAUUUUGGACAAUGGGCGAAAGCCUGAUCCAGCCAUGCCGCGUGUCUGAAGAAGGCCUUCGGGUUGUAAAGGACUUUUGUCAGGGAGGAAAUCCCUAGUGCUAAUAACACUGGGGGAUGACAGUACCUGAAGAAUAAGCACCGGCUAACUACGUGCCAGCCGCCGCCGUAA
rnacentral:rRNA from 1 species